AGGACGAACGCUGGCGGCGCGCCUAACACAUGCAAGUCGAGCGAUAACCAGUCCUUCGGGACUGGGGACAGCGGCGAACGGGUGAGUAACACGUGGGUAAUCUACCCUCGGUUUCGGGAUAGCCCGGGGAAACCCGGAUUAAUACCGAAUGGCCUCUCAGGCUCUCGGGCUUGAGAGAAAAGGUAGCUUCGGCCUCUGACCGAGGAUGAGCCCGCGGCCGAUUAGCUAGUUGGUGGGGUAAUGGCCCACCAAGGCGACGAUCGGUAGCUGGUCUGAGAGGACGAUCAGCCACACUGGGACUGAGACACGGCCCAGACUCCUACGGGAGGCAGCAGUGGGGAAUCGUUGCGCAAUGGGGCGAAAAGCCUGGACGCAGCGACGACCGCGUGCGGAAGAAGGCCGUUACGGGUUGUAAACCGCUUUACGAGGUAGGACGAAGACCACGUCGGUAAUAGCCCAGAGGUCGACGGUACCUCCGAAGAAGAACGCCCCCGGACUAACGUACGUGCCAGCAGCCGCGUAACGU
rnacentral:rRNA from 1 species